GAGGAAUAUUGGUCAAUGGACGGAAGUCUGAACCAGCCAAGUAGCGUGCAGGAAGACGGCCCUAUGGGUUGUAAACUGCUUUUAUACGAGAAUAAUUUGAUGCACGUGUGCGUUAUUGCAUGUAUCGUAUGAAUAAGGACCGGCUAAUUCCGUGCCAGCAGCCGCGGUAAUACGGAAGGUCCAGGCGUUAUCCGGAUUUAUUGGGUUUAAAGGGAGUGUAGGCGGUUUGUUAAGCGUGUUGUGAAAUUUAGGUGCUCAACAUUUAACUUGCAGCGCGAACUGUCAGACUUGAGUACACGCAACGUAUGCGGAAUUCAUGGUGUAGCGGUGAAAUGCUUAGAUAUCAUGAAGAACUCCGAUUGCGAAGGCAGCAUACGGGAGUGUAACUGACGCUUAAGCUCGAAGGUGCGGGUAUCGAACAGGAUUAGAUACCCUGGUAGUCCGCACAGUAAACGAUGGAUGCCCGCUGUUAGCGCCUGGCGUUAGCGGCUAAGCGAAAGCAUUAAGCAUCCCACCUGGGGAGUACGCUGGCAACGGUG
rnacentral:rRNA from 1 species